CCGGGAGGUUGGCGAGUGUGCGCGCGUGUGUGUGCGCAGCGCGUGUGUGCGUGUGCGCGCGUCUACAGGUAGCAGCGGCGGCGGGGACCCGAGCAGGGGACGCUUCGGCAGCUACCUCCCGCCUGUGAUUUUUCGGAGGCGAUUGCUCACUUAGCUGACGGAUCUGUAGCCCCGGGAGAUCUCGUCCUCUCCAUUUCCACGCUGUUUAGGCGUCUUCCGUUUCAAGUGUGUGUUUGGGGUAUUUUUUUUUUUCUUUUAGAUGUUUUUCGUCUCCCACUAAAUCUUCUCGGGAAUACUGCAUAUCGAAGCAGGUGGUUCCUGGUACGAAAUCUUUGGAUACAUUUUAUUUGCCAAGUUUUGCUUCUCCCUAUCCCCUCCCGCUUUGAGAGGCAUCCUUGGUGCUUUUCUUUCGGAUUUACAUGCAGAAAACGUAUCUAUGUUUAUAUGCCGACCGGAUAAUUUAUAAGUACGUACAUAUACGCGUGCCCAAGCACCUGGCUUUCGUCUCCUUCCCGACCAGGAGGAAUGUUUUGGAGCCCAUGGAUAAGGAGCACAGUAUUAACAUUCUUCUAAGGCUGUUUUUCAAAAAGGGGAGGGAGCGUGAAGAAUUGUUUAACAUUCGGCCGCCGUUUGGCUGCACACUAAGCACCACGAAGUAUUUAUGGUUGCAGAUCAGGUGCAAACGGGGCUUACAGAGAAAGGUAAGGGAGCUUCCUGCGUCCACCCGUCCCGACGUUUAUCUUAAUUCCCGGGAUUACCGAAAACUUCCUUCCUACUCCUUGCCUGACCCUGGCCUCCCCCAGCUCCCCCACCCCUGCCCGCGGUCUCUCCGGUUCGCUUAACCCUUGUCCAGUUCCUUUGGGCUGAGAAUGGUAGUGGUGGCGUCGACAGUACUGGAGGUGGAAUCGUCUGUUUGAGUUUAAAUGCGUCUCUCUUUUUUUCCCCUUUGAGUAACUGAGUUUUCCAAUCCCCCUUUUUAGCAGUCUCAAGAAAUGUUAUUUUGUCCUUAAAAAAAAAACAACCCGUUACGUAGAUAACUGCUUUAACCAUGUAUUGGUGCCAACUCCUCACCGGUGUCCUCUGGAAAAAUAAUAAAAGCAAUAAAAAUGAUGAACUUUAAUGAGCUGGGUGGUUUCUUCAGUACUGAGGGACAUGGAACCUCUCAAAUGAUUCUUUUCAUUAAAAAAAAAGAAAAAAAGAAAAAAGAAAAAAGAAAGAAAAACCGGGGAAAAAAACCCAAAUCAAUACCACGGGAGGAGGCCACAGUGAAGGAAAUUCGGCUUCCAUUUCUGCAUAAAGCAAUUCAUUUCACUUGGAGGGUAAUUCGCCAGAGUUUCGAGAGAUGAAGCGAAGUCUCCCGUGGGAGAACCUACAGCACUUAAUUCCUGCUCAAAUGCAUCCUUUUCCUCUACGACGAAACUGUGUACAUCUUGAACCAGGAGAGAUCCCGGUAGAUGACCAAUCAGACGUUGGAGGGGAUAUAGACCCGCAGCUAACUGGAUUUGAUUUAUAAGAAGGAAAUCUACAGUCAAUGGCCA
rnacentral:lncRNA from 1 species